GGCGGCGUGGAUAAUACAUGCAGUCGAGCGGCAGAUUGGAGCUUGCUUUCUGAUGUUAGCGGCGGAAGGGUGAGUAACACGUGGGUAACCUCCCCUGUAAGACUGGGAUAACUCCGGGAAACCGGGGCUAAUACCGGAUGGUUGUUUGAACCGCAUGGUUCAAACAUAAAAGGUGGCUUCGGCUACCACUUACAGAUGGACCCGCGGCGCAUUAGCUAGUUGGUGAGGUAACGGCUCACCAAGGCAACGAUGCGUAGCCGACCUGAGAGGGUGAUCGGCCACACUGGGACUGAGACACGGCCCAGACUCCUACGGGAGGCAGCAGUAGGGAAUCUUCCGCAAUGGACGAAAGUCUGACGGAGCACCGCCGCUUGAGUGAUGAAGGUUUUCGGAUCGUAAAGCUCUGUUGUUAGGGAAGAACAAGUACCGUUCGAAUAGGGCGGUACCUUGACGGUACCUAACCAGAAAGCCACGGCUAACUACGUGCCAGCAGCAGUUUUAUAAGAGGAAGACUUGCAUUAAUUUG
rnacentral:rRNA from 1 species